rnacentral:rRNA from 1 species
UACGAAGGGGGCUAGCGUUGCUCGGAAUCACUGGGCGUAAAGCGCACGUAGGCGGAUUGUUAAGUCAGGGGUGAAAUCCUGGAGCUCAACUCCAGAACUGCCUUUGAUACUGGCGAUCUUGAGUCCGGGAGAGGUGAGUGGAACUGCGAGUGUAGAGGUGAAAUUCGUAGAUAUUCGCAAGAACACCAGUGGCGAAGGCGGCUCCCUGGCCCGGUACUGACGCUGAGGCACGAAAGCGUGGGGAGCAAACAGG